rnacentral:rRNA from 1 species
AACGUAGGGGGCAAGCGUUGUCCGGAAUCAUUGGGCGUAAAGAGCGUGUAGGCGGCCAGAUAAGUCCGCUGUGAAAUCUCGAGGCUCAACCCUUGAAUGCCGGUGGAUACUGUCGGGCUAGAGUCCGGUAGGGGAGUGUGGAAUUCCCGGUGUAGCGGUGAAAUGCGCAGAUAUCGGGAGGAACACCGAUGGCGAAGGCAGCACUCUGGGCCGGCACUGACGCUGAGGAGCGAAAGCGUGGGGAGCGAACAGG